CUGUCCGCCUCCAGUCCUGCUUCCCCCUCGCACUCACCGCCGGCAUUCCGGCAGUUCCUGCUCCGGGCCUUCCAGAGGGUAGCGCCGCGAUGGGCAACCCAGGCACCUCCGCCAACCCCGCCGUGCGCCACCGCCUCUCGCCGCAUCUCUCUCUUCGCUUCCCAUCUGCCCGCGCCGCCUACGCCGCUCAGCGACCUAGCUUCUCGGUCUCUCGCCGCCGCGUUCGCACGGCGCUGGCCACCAACUUCGCCGCCGCCACAGCGACUGUAUCCAACCAUCCGAGGGCGCGGCAGCCUUGCAUCCCACACCCGCCAGUGCCCAGCCCUUCGCCUCGGCAGUGGCCACGCUGGAGAAGAAGCCAUACCAUACCCACCCGACAUGGUCGCAGGUGAGCCUGCACUUAAUCUGAGACUACAAAAUUGGGCUCAAUCACGGGUCGUGUCGUCCCGACGGACGGAGGAGGACCGCCGCUAGAGCUCGCGUUGUCACUCAAACAGUACACCACCGCCACAAGCCCGGGCCGAAUAUGUCUACAGGGCAGCAGGGCUACCGCUGCCGCCGCACUUCACCGGCAAAGAAAGCCCUCCAGCCCAUGUCCGUCUACUAGAUCUACCCUGCGAUGGAGUCCACGGUGAACCCGAAGGCGUACCCACUGACUGAUGCGCAGCUAACGAUGGGUAUCCUCGAUAUCAUCCAGCACUCCACCAACUACAAGCAGCUCAAGAAGGGAGCGAACGAAGCGACGAAUACCCUGAAUAGGGGGAUAUCAGAGUUUGUUGUGAUGGCGGCGGAUACAGAGCCUCUUGAGAUCCUACUCCACCUCCCCUUGUUAGCUGAGGAUAAGGUACUGAUUUUUUUUUCUCGCUUUCCUCUUUUGUUUUGUAAUAUGGUGCUGUGUGAUUAUAGCUUGGACGCCAUCUAUAUGUCAUGUUGGUUGUUUUUCUCUCUUUCCUCUUUUGUAAUUUUAUCCCAAAUGCUAUAUUAAAAGAUUAUGCCAAAUGCUUAAUAGGGUUGUUUUCAGUUAUUUCUCUUAAUAUUGCGUUAGGAUAAAUUUGUUUGGUUGGUGUUCAUACGACUUCUAGCAAAUAUUUUUGUUCAACUUUUGGUUGCC
rnacentral:misc_RNA from 1 species